UACGGAGGGGGCAAGCGUUGCUCGGAAUUACUGGGCGUAAAGGGCGCGUAGGCGGGAUGGCAAGUCGGUCGUGAAAUCCCUCGGCUCAACCGAGGAACGUCGAUCGAUACUGCUGUUCUUGAGGAUUGCAGAGGAGACUGGAAUUCCCGGUGUAGCGGUGAAAUGUGUAGAGAUCGGGAGGAACACCGGUGGCGAAGGCGGGUCUCUGGGCAAUUCCUGACGCUGAGGCGCGAAAGCGUGGGGAGCAAACGGG
rnacentral:rRNA from 1 species